rnacentral:rRNA from 1 species
AUUGAACGCUGGCGGCAUGCCUAACACAUGCAAGUCGAACGAGUGGCGGACGGGUGUGUAAUGUAUGGGAAACUGCCCGAUGGAGGGGGAUAACUACUGGAAACGGUAGUUAAUACCGCAUACCAUCGGAUGUGCCCAGAUGGGAUUAGCUAGUUGGUGGGGUAAAGGCUCACCUAGACGACGAUCCCUAGCUGGUCUGAGAGGAUGACCAGCCACACGGGACCUGGAACACGGUCCAGACUCCUACGGGAGGCAGCAUUGGGGAAUAUUGCACAAUGGGCGCAGGCCUGAUGCAGCCAGGCCGCGUGUAUGAAGAGGGCCUUGGGGUUGUAAAGUACUUUCAGCGAGGAGGCGUUACUCGCAGAAGAAGCGCCGGCUAACUCCGUGCCAGCAGCCGCGGUAAUUC